CCCCGAGGAAAAGAAAUCAACCGAGAUUCCCCCAGUAGCGGCGAGCGAACGGGGAGCAGCCCAGAGCCUGAAUCAGUAUGUGUGUUAGUGGAAGCGUCUGGAAAGGCGCGCGAUACAGGGUGACAGCCCCGUACACAAAAAUGCACAUGCUGUGAGCUCGAUGAGUAGGGCGGGACACGUGGUAUCCUGUCUGAAUAUGGGGGGACCAUCCUCCAAGGCUAAAUACUCCUGACUGACCGAUAGUGAACCAGUACCGUGAGGGAAAGGCGAAAAGAACCCCGGCGAGGGGAGUGAAAAAGAACCUGAAACCGUGUACGUACAAGCAGUGGGAGCACGCUUAGGCGUGUGACUGCGUACCUUUUGUAUAAUGGGUCAGCGACUUAUAUUCUGUAGCAAGGUUAACCGAAUAGGGGAGCCGAAGGGAAACCGAGUCUUAACUGGGCGUUAAGUUGCAGGGUAUAGACCCGAAACCCGGUGAUCUAGCCAUGGGCAGGUUGAAGGUUGGGUAACACUAACUGGAGGACCGAACCGACUAAUGUUGAAAAAUUAGCGGAUGACUUGUGGCUGGGGGUGAAAGGCCAAUCAAACCGGGAGAUAGCUGGUUCUCCCCGAAAGCUAUUUAGGUAGCGCCUCGUGAAUUCAUCUCCGGGGGUAGAGCACUGUUUCGGCAAGGGGGUCAUCCCGACUUACCAACCCGAUGCAAACUGCGAAUACCGGAGAAUGUUAUCACGGGAGACACACGGCGGGUGCUAACGUCCGUCGUGAAGAGGGAAACAACCCAGACCGCCAGCUAAGGUCCCAAAGUCAUGGUUAAGUGGGAAACGAUGUGGGAAGGCCCAGACAGCCAGGAUGUUGGCUUAGAAGCAGCCAUCAUUUAAAGAAAGCGUAAUAGCUCACUGGUCGAGUCGGCCUGCGCGGAAGAUGUAACGGGGCUAAACCAUGCAC
rnacentral:rRNA from 1 species